AUACAGGUGGGAAUUCUGUCAUUCCAGGCUGGGAAUUCUGUCACUUCAGGCUGGGAAUAAGGGCUGGGAAUUCUUUCAUUCCAGGCUGGGAAUUCUGUCACUCCAGGCUGGGAAUAUGGGCUGGGAAUUCUGUCACUCCAGGCUGGGAAUAGAGGCUGGGAAUUCUGUCACUCCAGGCUGGGAAUACGGGUGGGAAUUCUGUCAUUCCAGGUUGGGAAUUCUGUCACUCCAGGCUGGGAAUAUGGGCGGGAAUUCUGUCACUCCAGGCUGGGAAUACAGGUGGGAAUUCUGUCACUCCAGGCUGGGAAUAUGGGCUGGGAAUUCUGUCAUUCCAGGCCGGGAAUACAGGUGGGAACUCUGUCACUCCAGGCUGGGAAUACAGGUGGGAAUUCCGUCAUUCCAGGCCAGGAAUACAACCUGGGUCUGCAGGGCAGUCCCCAGAUGAGAUCUGAGUGCUGCCAUCACUGCCACAGCUGGAGCCACUGAGAGCACCUCUGGAAAUGACUGCGUGUUGACAAAGGCUUUUUUUGGCAAGAAACCAUCAUCUGAGCCUCGGGAGCAGAGAGGAACAAAAUUUCACUACAUGUUAAGUCUAUGUGACCUGUCCACCUUGGUCAGAAUCCACACAGUCUUGUCCUGGAUUGAUGGAACGUGACACAUCCUGAUACCAUUCCAUUGUCAUCCCUAUUUACUAGGAGUUGUUUUCUUCAGGAUUUCAUAUAAAUAUCCUUAGCAAUAAACAGCAUUGUAUCAAAAAGCUCCUUAAACACAUCUGACACCUCUCUCCCAUUCUUCCCUUAACACAAACUACGUAAUUUUAAAUCCUAGGUAACCCUCUGAGUCAAAUGUUUUAAAUUUAAAUUCUGGUUAUCUUACCAUAGGUUCCCUGCAUGCCCUGUUUGAAUCGGCAGAGUUGAGACAAUAAAACUUUAUUUUAUUU